UACGAAGGUGGCAACGUUGCUCGGAAUUAUUGGGCGUAAAGCGCACGUAGGCGGCAUUGCAAGUCGGAUGUGAAAUCUUAUGGACUUGAACCAUAAAAGUGCAUCCGAAACUGCAGUGCUUGAGUACUUAAGAGGAUCGCGGAAUUCCCGGUGUAGAGGUGAAAUUCGUAGAUAUCGGGAGGAACACCAGUGGCGAAGGCGGACGAUCUGGGAAGAGUACUGACGCUGAGGUGCGAAAGCGUGGGGAGCA
rnacentral:rRNA from 1 species